GAUGAAGAACGCAGCGAAAUGCGAUAAGUAAUGUGAAUUGCAGAAUUCAGUGAAUCAUCGAAUCUUUGAACGCACCUUGCGCCCUUUGGCCAUUCCGAAGGGCAUGCCUGUUUGAGUAUCAUGAACACCUCAACUCUUCAUGGUUUUCCAUGAUGAGCUUGGACUUUGGGGGUCUUGCUGGCCUGUGGGUCGGCUCCUCUCAAAUGAAUCAGCUUGCCGGUUUUUGGUGGGCAUCACAGGUGUGAUAACUAUCUACGCUUGUGGUUUUCCACCAGGGUAACCUUCAGCAGUGGAGGUUCACUGGAGCUUACAAAUGUCUCUCCUCUGUGAGGACAGCCCUUUGAAUGUUUGAUCUCAAAGCAGGUAGGACUACCCGCUGAACUUAAGCAUAUCAAUAAGCGGAGGA
rnacentral:misc_RNA from 1 species